UUACGGCCAUAUAACGUUGAAACACUAGUUCCCGUACAAUCACCGAAGUUAAACAACGUCAAGCCUGGUCAGUACCUAGAUUGGUGACCACUUGGGUAUACCAGGUGCUGUAAG